AAUGCCCUGCAUUUCUCGAAGCCUUACGUUCCUACGUAGGGUACUUAUGUAGAGAAUGUGGGGCAUU
rnacentral:ncRNA from 1 species